rnacentral:rRNA from 1 species
AGAACGAACGCUGGCGGCAUGCCUAAUACAUGCAAGUCGAACGAACACUUCGGUGUUAGUGGCGCACGGGUGCGUAACGCGUGGGAAUCUGCCCUUGGGUUCGGAAUAACAGUUGGAAACGACUGCUAAUACCGGAUGAUGACGAAAGUCCAAAGAUUUAUCGCCCAGGGAUGAGCCCGCGUAGGAUUAGCUAGUUGGUGAGGUAAAGGCUCACCAAGGCGACGAUCCUUAGCUGGUCUGAGAGGAUGAUCAGCCACACUGGGACUGAGACACCGGCCCAG